UUUAAAAGGAGCCUCUUUGUUCCCAAAAUCUUCAUCCUUUGAUUUCUCUAUUCUCAAUAUCUCCUCAAUUUUUCUCUAGUCUUCAAACACUUCUCAAGAUGCAGAUCUUCGUUAAAACCCUAACUGGAAAGACCAUAACCCUUGAGGUUGAAAGCUCCGACACUAUUGACAACGUUAAGGCUAAGAUUCAGGACAAAGAAGGAAUCCCACCGGACCAGCAAAGGCUGAUCUUCGCCGGAAAGCAGCUCGAAGACGGCAGAACCCUAGCCGACUACAACAUCCAAAAGGAAUCGACCCUUCACUUGGUGCUCCGUCUUAGAGGAGGCAUGCAAAUCUUCGUCAAAACCCUAACCGGGAAAACAAUCACCCUUGAAGUUGAAAGCUCCGACACUAUUGAUAACGUUAAGGCGAAAAUCCAGGAUAAAGAGGGAAUCCCACCCGACCAGCAAAGGCUGAUCUUUGCCGGAAAGCAACUUGAAGACGGCCGAACCCUCGCUGAUUACAACAUCCAGAAGGAGUCUACCCUUCACUUGGUUCUCCGUCUUCGCGGCGGGAUGCAGAUCUUUGUCAAAACCCUAACCGGGAAAACAAUCACCCUUGAAGUUGAAAGCUCUGACACUAUCGACAAUGUUAAGGCUAAGAUUCAGGACAAGGAAGGAAUCCCACCAGAUCAGCAGAGGUUGAUAUUUGCUGGUAAGCAGUUGGAAGAUGGCCGAACCCUAGCUGAUUACAACAUCCAGAAGGAAUCAACUCUUCACUUGGUGCUCCGUCUUCGCGGCGGCAUGCAAAUCUUCGUCAAAACCCUAACCGGGAAAACAAUCACCCUUGAAGUUGAAAGCUCUGACACUAUUGACAAUGUUAAGGCUAAGAUUCAGGACAAGGAAGGAAUCCCACCAGAUCAGCAGAGGUUGAUAUUUGCUGGUAAACAGUUGGAAGAUGGCCGAACCCUCGCUGAUUACAACAUCCAGAAGGAGUCGACUUUGCACCUUGUGCUUCGUCUUCGUGGUGGGAUGCAGAUUUUUGUGAAGACGUUAACCGGGAAAACCAUCACUUUGGAGGUGGAAAGUUCUGAUACUAUUGACAAUGUGAAAGCUAAGAUUCAGGACAAGGAGGGUAUCCCCCGGAUCAGCAGAGGCUGAUCUUUGCGGGAAAGCAAUUGGAAGAUGGACGAACCCUCGCUGAUUACAACAUUCAGAAGGAGUCCACCCUGCACCUUGUCCUCCGUCUCCGUGGUGGUUUCUAAAGUGUCUGUCAGUGCCUGUGUCUGUGUCUGGGGUCUGUUUGGUUCAUGAUUUAGAAUUUGUGUAGUUUCUGUUAGUUGUCAUCAUGUUAUGUUUCCAAAAGAGGCGAGGAGGCUUGUUCCCUCUUGUCUCUGUUUGUGAAUAAUAAAGUUUAAUUAUUGUUUAAA